rnacentral:rRNA from 1 species
GAUGAACGCUGGCGGCGUGCUUAACACAUGCAAGUCGAACGGAGUUUCUUGGAUCAAGACUUCGGUCAAGUGAAUUGAAACUUAGUGGCGGACGGGUGAGUAACGCGUGAGGAACCUGCCUGGGAGUGGGGAAUAACACACGGAAACGUGUGCUAAUACCGCAUAAUGCAUUUUGAUUGCAUGAUUGAAAUGCCAAAGAUUUAUCGCUCUUAGAUGGCCUCGCGUCUGAUUAGCUGGUUGGUAGGGUAACGGCCUACCAAGGCGACGAUCAGUGGCCGAACUGAGAGGUUGGCCGGCCACAUUGGGACUGGGACACGGCCCAGACUCCUACGGGAGGCGGCAGUGGGGAAUAUUGGGCAAUGGGCGCAAGCCUGACCCAGCAACGCCGCGUGAAGGAAGAAGGCUUUCGGGUUGUAAACUUCUUUUACCAGGGACGAACAAAUGACGGUACCUGGAGAAAAAGCAACGGCUAACUACGUGCCAGCCGCCGCAGUAAUAC